UACGUAGGGGGCUAGCGUUGCUCGGAAUCACUGGGCGUAAAGCGCACGUAGGCGGAUCUUUAAGUCAGGGGUGAAAUCCUGGAGCUCAACUCCAGAACUGCCUUUGAUACUGGGGAUCUCGAGUCCGGAAGAGGUGAGUGGAACUGCGAGUGUAGAGGUGAAAUUCGUAGAUAUUCGCAAGAACACCAGUGGCGAGGGCGGCUCACUGGUCCGGUACUGACGCUGAGGUGCGAAAGCGUGGGGAGCAAACAGG
rnacentral:rRNA from 1 species